UACGUAGGGUGCGGGCGUUGUCCGGAAUUAUUGGGCGUAAAGAGCUCGUAGGCGGUGUGUCGCGUCGGCCGUGAAAACCUGCAGCUUAACUGUGGGCUUGCGGUCGAUACGGGCAUCACUGGAGUUCGGCAGGGGAGACUGGAAUUCCUGGUGUAGCGGUGAAAUGCGCAGAUAUCAGGAGGAACACCGGUGGCGAAGGCGGGUCUCUGGGCCGAUACUGACGCUGAGGAGCGAAAGCGUGGGGAGCAAACAGG
rnacentral:rRNA from 1 species